rnacentral:rRNA from 1 species
GGACGGGUGAGUAAUGCUUAGGAAUCUGCCUAUUAGUGGGGGACAACAUUCCGAAAGGAAUGCUAAUACCGCAUACGCCCUACGGGGGAAGGCAGGGGAUCUUCGGACCUUGCGCUAAUAGAUGAGCCUAAGUCAGAUUAGCUAGUUGGUGGGGUAAAGGCCUACCAAGGCGACGAUCUGUAGCGGGUCUGAGAGGAUGAUCCGCCACACUGGGACUGAGACACGGCCCAGACUCCUACGGGAGGCAGCAGUGGGGAAUAUUGGACAAUGGGCGCAAGCCUGAUCCAGCCAUGCCGCGUGUGUGAAGAAGGCCUUUUGGUUGUAAAGCACUUUAAGCGAGGAGGAGGCUACCGAGAUUAAUACUCUUGGAUAGUGGACGUUACUCGCAGAAUAAGCACCGGCUAACUCUGUGCCAGCAGCCGCGGUAAUACAGAGGGUGCGAGCGUUAAUCGGAUUUACUGGGCGUAAAGCGUGCGUAGGCGGCUUUUUAAGUCGGAUGUGAAAUCCCUGAGCUUAACUUAGGAAUUGCAUUUGAUACUGGGAAGCUAGAGUAUGGGAGAGGAUGGUAGAAUUCCAGGUGUAGCGGUGAAAUGCGUAGAGAUCUGGAGGAAUACCGAUGGCGAAGGCAGCCAUCUGGCCUAAUACUGACGCUGAGGUACGAAAGCAUGGGGAGCAAACAGGAUUAGAUACCCUGGUAGUCCAUGCCGUAAACGAUGUCUACUAGCCGUUGGGGCCUUUGAGGCUUUAGUGGCGCAGCUAACGCGAUAAGUAGACCGCCUGGGGAGUACGGUCGCAAGACUAAAACUCAAAUGAAUUGACGGGGGCCCGCACAAGCGGUGGAGCAUGUGGUUUAAUUCGAUGCAACGCGAAGAACCUCACCUGGUCUUGACAU